UUUGUUUCACGUCCCGGUUACUAAGUCAAUUUACUGUUUGUUAAGUCAUGUCAGUUUGCCUUUUGAGUUCCCUUCAGUAAACCCUGGUCCAAACUGCAUUUGGUCGCCCUGCUCCAUCCGCUCCGUGACAAUUUUGUCUAAAUUUGGACCCUUCAUGAACAGCAGGGAGCGCCCUAACCUCACGUUCAAAGUUUUCCUUUAUUCGGGUGGUGAUCUUUGGGCCAGAGGCAGGACUGGACUGGAGAAAAGUGACAAAAGCACAUGAAAAAGUUGCAAACUGAAGUGGGAAGGGUGGAGCGCCCAACACGCCGGCUGAUGGGUGUCGGCAGUGUGAAGCUGCUGCGGCUCUCACGGGACCCGGUGGAGGGUGAGUCAUGCUAAAAUGCAUUCCGGCCCCGCCCGAAAGCGCUCGUCUCCCAACUCUAGCUCAAGUGCCGUCAACAAGUCAGGAAGUGAGCCGUCGUUAACAUCCACCACUGCCACUUUCAUCAUUAUCCGACUAGUUUUCCUGAUGCUUGUUGCAGGACCCCGCCAAAGAAGGGAAGAUAGGAGGAGAUGGCUGUCCCGAUGACUACAUAGUUGGUUUUGAAUUGGGUUUUGAAUUCUGUGUGUGUAUGUGUGUGUGUGUGCGUGUGUGAGGUUAAAGAGGGCUUCACAUCUCAGUGUCUGCAGUCUUGGCGGCGGAGUGGCCAUUGGUGGGAGGAGACUCGGUCUUGGCGGGUUCAGGAGUCUCCCCGUUCACGUUGGGUUUCUCUUGGGUUUCUGCCGGGGGGCUGAGCGGAGCCACGGACACGAGGGUGUUCCCCUGGUUCUCCUGAUCCACUGGAUAAGCCUCCUCUGCCUGCUAAGAGAGCAAAGAACAUUAAACAUUCCAAAUUCAUACGGUCAUAGAUUAUUGUCAAUAUGAUAAGUGGCUCUUUAAUUGUGACACCACUAAAAUAUCAAACGGCUUUUGUCAUGAAUUAAGUAUGCAAACUUCCACUUCACCACACUUGUCAAAGUUGGCGGAGGCGCAUGCCACCGCAGUCUCACUCAUCAAACUACUCACCAAUUUGACUCCCUUGGCGCCAGUUCGACGUUGACAUUUGCAGUAACCAGCAAUAAUGGCGGCGGCAACCAGCAGACCGGUGAUCAGAAUCCCCACGAAUACCGAGCGCCCUGAUGAGGAUGAGGAUGAGGACGUCGGUUGCUCCAAACUUGUCACUCCCAGCUGCAAAUAUAGAAGGGAAUAUUGCAUAUGAGACAUUUGGAUAGUUUUGGUGUGUCCAAUGAGAAACACAAGCGGCAAGGCAAAUCUGUUGACCAAUAACCACAAUGGGACCAAGGAGCAAUUAUGAAGUCUCGGGUGGAUUUUGAGGCCAAAAGACAAUCCCGGAAUGUUCUCAGAGCACGAAGGCUCUUCUGUGCGUCACAAAAGUUGACCGCAGCUGUAUGGAAUACUUGCUGACUUUCCUCCGCCUAGUCCUGAAUGAUGAUAUCACCUCAUCACGCAAUCAAAACUUGGGAUCGCUCUUCAUUUUCUAUAAUGUGAUCCAGCCGUCUCUCUGCUCCCAGGAGACGCUUGUGAGCAAACCCCGACUCGCAACUAAUUGGGAUGGAGCCUGCAGCUGCACAAUCCAGAUUUUGUGAGGCAUGGAGGAGAAAAAUGAAUGAGGGCUGAAUUUGUGAUCACUCCCAUGGAAGCCACGCUCUUCUCCAUCUGUCUGUGUCACAUGUGGAGGAUCACGCGUCUCUUGCACUCAGUUUGGCCUACUGGACUCUCGGUUUAUGAGGAAUUUGAAGUUCAGCAGGAUGCAGUAGCCACUGAUGCAAUGCUCCACACCAGGGGGUUACAACUGGUUUUGUCCAAGGGACCACCAAUAUAACCAAGAAGCAACUCGGGGACCACUGCUUUGGCGGAAUAUUAUUUUGUUUUGCAACAAAGGAGGAUGGACCUGCAUGUCUAUUUGGGGAAUCUCAGCUACAUUUGACAUAAUUUAGAUGGGUAGAUGAUUCACAUACUAAUUAGCUGGAAAAUGAAUAAAGUCUAGACGAUAAAUCUA